AGGAAUUGGCCUUUCCUUGGUUGACAUGCCUUGAAUAAUGCAACUAGGUUUGUGGGAUUGGAUAAUGUAUGUUUACUGCGUAUGAUUGGCUUUGCAAACCUGAGUUCUAUGAUGCGAGUCAUGUAAAACAUUUUAGAUUGGAUAUGGUGUCUGUUGUCGUACUAAUGAAGGUCAGAGUAAGUACAGGAUUGGCCUUUCCUCGUGCCUUGAAUAAUGCAACUAGGUUUGCUGGAUUGUUAGGGUUGUUGCUUGUAUGUUUACUGUGUAUUAUUGGCUUUGCAAACCUGAGAUCUGUAAUGGGAGUCAUGUAGAAUAUUUUGAUGUUUGUAAUGGAUGCUUGUUCCUAAAAUCUCUUCUAAUCUCAUAAGAGGCAAAAUUUACUUGUGUUUGGUUGGCAGAGCUGAUAUGCUUCUGAUUCAACAAAGCAGGAUUCCACCUUCUGCAAAAAAUGCAGGUUUUUGAACUCAAA
rnacentral:lncRNA from 1 species